CUACGGGAGGCUCCAGUGGGGAAUAUUGCACAAUGGGCGCAAGCCUGAUGCAGCCAUGCCGCGUGUAUGAAGAAGGCCUUCGGGUUGUAAAGUACUUUCAGCGGGGAGGAAGGGAGUAAAGUUAAUACCUUUGCUCAUUGACGUUACCCGCAGAAGAAGCACCGGCAAACUCCGUGCCAGCAGCCGCGGUAAUACGGAGGGUGCGAGCGUUAAUCGGAAUUACUGGGCGUAAAGCGCACGCAGGCGGUUUGUUAAGUCAGAUGUGAAAUCCCCGGGCUCAACCUGGGAACUGCAUCUGAUACUGGCAAGCUUGAGUCUCGUAGAGGGGGGUAGAAUUCCAGGUGUAGCGGUGAAAUGCGUAGAGAUCUGGAGGAAUACCGGUGGCGAAGGCGGCCCCCUGGACGAAGACUGACGCUCAGGUGCGAAAGCGUGGGGAGCAAACAGGAUUAGAUACCCGCGUAGUC
rnacentral:rRNA from 1 species